UACAGAGGGUGCAAGCGUUAAUCGGAUUUACUGGGCGUAAAGCGUGCGUAGACGGUUCAUUAAGUCGGUUGUGAAAUCCCUGGGCUUAACCUGGGAACUGCAGUCGAUACUGGUGAACUAGAAUGCGGUAGAGGGUGGCGGAACUCCGGGUGUAGCGGUGAAAUGCGUAGAUAUCCGGAAGAACACCGAUGGCGAAGGCAACCACCUGGGCCUGCAUUGACGCUGAGGUACGAAAGCGUGGGGAGCAAACAGG
rnacentral:rRNA from 1 species